AGAGUUCUGAUACGGUAAGAUGUGUUUGUACCUGAUGAAACUAAAUCAGACUGAGCUUGGAGUAUUUCGACUUGGAGAACAUACUUUGAUGAAUUAUGGAGAUGCACUACUCAUGUCUUCUCUUAAUAUUGUCCUUCCAAAUGUUAACAUUUGUGGCAGGACAGUAUACAGUAAAGAACGCAACAUUGAUAGCGUCAGAUACACUAUUCUCGUCACCGGGCUAUGUUGAUUCUCUAGAGUAUGCAAUGUAAGUAUCCCGUUUAUUGAAAAUGAUCCCAGUUUAUCUGAUAUACCUUACAAUUAGGAUAAUCAAUACCUCAUGUUAUUUUCGUGUUCCUUUUGUUUGU